rnacentral:rRNA from 1 species
UACGUAGGGGGCAAGCGUUGUCCGGAUUUAUUGGGCGUAAAGAGCGUGUAGGCGGCCAAGUAGGUCCGUUGUGAAAACUGGAGGCUUAACCUCCAGCUGUCGAUGGAAACCAUUUGGCUAGAGUCCGGAAGAGGAGAGUGGAAUUCCUGGUGUAGCGGUGAAAUGCGCAGAUAUCAGGAAGAACACCGGUGGCGAAGGCGGCCCGCUGGGCUGUUGCUGACGCUGAGGCGCGACAGCGUGGGGAGCAAACAGG